UACGUAGGGGGCUAGCGUUGUCCGGAAUCAUUGGGCGUAAAGAGCGUGUAGGCGGCCCGGUAAGUCCGCUGUGAAAGUCGGGGGCUCAACCCUCGAAUGCUGGUGGAUACUGUCGGGCUAGAGUGCGGAAGAGGCGAGUGGAAUUCCUGGUGUAGCGGUGAAAUGCGCAGAUAUCAGGAGGAACACCGAUUGCGAAGGCAGCUCGCUGGGACGUAACUGACGCUGAGACGCGAAAGCGUGGGGAGCAAACAGG
rnacentral:rRNA from 1 species